GACGAACGCUGGCGGCGUGCUUAACACAUGCAAGUCGAGCGGUAAGGCCCCUUUCGGGGGGUACACGAGCGGCGAACGGGUGAGUAACACGUGGGUGACCUGCCCUCAGCUCUGGGAUAAGCCUGGGAAACCGGGUCUAAUACUGGAUAUGACUCCAUGACGCAUGUUGUGGGGUGGAAAGCCUUGUGCGGCUGAGGAUGGGCCCGCGGCCUAUCAGCUUGUUGGUGGGGUGAUGGCCUACCAAGGCGACGACGGGUAGCCGGCCUGAGAGGGCGACCGGCCACACUGGGACUGAGACACGGCCCAGACUCCUACGGGAGGCAGCAGUGGGGAAUCUUGCGACAAGUGGGCGAAAGCCUGACGCAGCGACGCCGCGUGAGGGAUGACGGCC
rnacentral:rRNA from 1 species